rnacentral:lncRNA from 1 species
ACGCAAUAUCUUCUUCUUAUCAACCCUAAACUUAAUGGAGACGGUGGAAAGGGUGGUCGGAUAUGUUCGAGUUAAAAUCUAGGGCUUCCAUGCCGUUCAGAACCAAAACACUCCAAUUAGGGUUUUGUGUGAGAGAUGGUGCUGAAAAAAUGAAGCAACUUAAGAACCAUUAGCGGUGUUCUUGAAGACGAGGUUUUCCGAGAAAGGGAUGCCCACUAUAACUGGAAAAUCAAGAAGUGAAUCAAAGGACAAGGAAAAGAAGCAUAAAAGGCACAAGGACAAAGACCGAGACAAGGACAAAGAGCAUAAAAAACAUAAACAUCGGUAUAAAGAUCGAAGUAAAGAUAAAGACAAAGAAAAAAAGAAGGAUAAAAGCAGUCAUCAUGACAAGAAAAGGAAGCAUGAUGGAAACGAAGAUGUCAGUGACACUCACAAGCAGAAGAAAAGUAAGCAUAAGAACUCAAAGAUUGAUAAGAUAGGAGCGUUUAAAAUAGCAGCUUGAACCAUAUGGACCUGCAAUACCGACCCGGUUCCUACCUUGCCCGAACCACAGGUAUAAAACAGUUUCAGACCCGGCCGAAGAAAAAAGAACCGAACCGGAACCGGAUCCACCUCGACAAUGUGUUAUUAUCAGCUUGGUUUCAUCUUUCCGAAAAUAAUCUAUUAUAGUAUCAGAGUGGGCUACUGUAGGUUGAGUUGGUGGUCAUGGAGGAAGGAUAACUUGAUUUCUCAAACACCGAGAUGUUUACGGAUCCAAAUAUGGGUGAUAUCCUGAGCAAUGAUUUACUCGAUAGAUUCUUUGAUGAUAUUUUCAAAGACUCGCACGCGUGCACCCAUACGCAUACUUGUAACCCACCGGGCCCUGAUUCAUCACACACCCACACGUGUUACCACGUGCAUAGGAAGAUCAUGCCCGCCAUGAGCGGCGAUGAUGACAAGACGCCGACGGAUGACACGGCUGAGUCGGCGGAUAAAAAGUGAAGAACGUCCGUUAGGUAACCGUGAAGCAGUUUAAGAGUAUCGUGAGAAAAAGAAAGCGCGCGCGGCUUUGUUAGAGGACGAAGUUGUUAGAUUGAGAGCAUUGAAUCAGCAGUUAAUGAAGAGGAUUCAAAGUCAGGCUGGGUUGGAAGCUGAGGUUAAAUCAGCUGCGAAGAAGAGUAAAAGCGUUGCGAAUGAGACUGAUGGUGAUAAGCUUCCGACGUUCAUGUUCGUGCGCAGAGAGGUCAAGCAACAGAUAGCCAUAGCAUAGCAGAACAAGCAAGAAGAGAGAAAUCAAUGCUAGAAUGAAGCUUCUUCAAGAGCUGGUACCUGGUUUUAGCAAGCCCCUUGGAGCCAGAAGAGAAAGGGUUUUGGUUAAAAUAGAAGACUACGACUUCAAUGAGGCGAUUAAGCAGAUUGUGUCAUCAAUUUGACUGAAAAGGUGAGAAGGGGAAAACUUAUGGAAACCUAAGAGACCUGCGUUCCUUCACUGAGAUCAUUACAGUCGCAAAUGCAACCUGCGUUGUUUAAAAAAUUAUUCUCAGGUUUCUCCAGUUUUUUAUGAAGUGAACACCUCUCCAGUUUUUUGAGAGGUCGUCCAAACACGGAAAGAAAAGGCGCACCAUAACGGGCACAACAAAGUUGAGAAGGCAACAAAUUGGAUAUUUAACCCGAUUGCUGCUGCAUCUAGGGCUAAUGCUGCCACAUUUGAGGUUACCAGUGAAAUUUACAGAUGAGUAUGGGAAGUUUUUGUCAGAAAAGGUGACUCUGAAGGUACCACAUUCCCCUUUGUAAUUGACGAAGUCAUGCCUAGAACAUCUCGAUGAAGGAAUGUUUUUCGCUUUUGGUCAUGUAUUUGAUGGAAAGGUUUCAACCGGUUUGAAGGUUAGAAUCAUGGGUCCGAAUUAUGUUCCCGGUGAGAAGAAAGAUCUGUACGUUAAAGGUGUUCAAAGGACCGUUAUUUGGAUGGGAAAGAAACAAGAAACUGUUGAAGAUGUUCCUUGUGGAAACACAGUUGCGAUGGUGG